AUGUGGUACAUAUGAAAUUUGAAGUGAAUCAAUUUUUUAGUAUGUUUUUAUAUAUUUUAAGUUGCUAAUUAUUUGUAUUUAGAGUAUGUUUUACGUAAAUAUAUUAUAAAUCACAAUAAUUAACAAAAGAACUUAUAAAAAAUUCAUUGACUUUUGAAAUUUCAUUUGUAUCACAUAA
rnacentral:pre_miRNA from 1 species